rnacentral:rRNA from 1 species
CGGCCCAGACUCCUACGGGAGGCAGCAGUGGGGAAUAUUGCACAAUGGGGGAAACCCUGAUGCAGCGACGCCGCGUGGAGGAAGAAGGUCUUCGGAUUGUAAACUCCUGUUGUUGAGGAAGAUAAUGACGGUACUCAACAAGGAAGUGACGGCUAACUACGUGCCAGCAGCCGCGGUAAAACGUAGGUCACAAGCGUUGUCCGGAAUUACUGGGUGUAAAGGGAGCGCAGGCGGGAGAACAAGUUGGAAGUGAAAUCCAUGGGCUCAACCCAUGAACUGCUUUCAAAACUGUUUUUCUUGAGUAGUGCAGAGGUAGGCGGAAUUCCCGGUGUAGCGGUGGAAUGCGUAGAUAUCGGGAGGAACACCAGUGGCGAAGGCGGCCUACUGGGCACCAACUGACGCUGAGGCUCGAAAGUGUGGGUAGCAAACAGGAUUAGAUACCCUGGUAGUCCACACCGUAAACGAUGAUUACUAGGUGUUGGAGGAUUGACCCCUUCAGUGCCGCAGUUAACACAAUAAGUAAUCCACCUGGGGAGUACGACCGCAAGGUUGAAACUCAAAGGAAUUGACGGGGGCCCGCACAAGCAGUGGAGUAUGUGGUUUAAUUCGACGCAACGCGAAGAACCUUACCAAGUCUUGACAUCCCUUGACGAUGCUGGAAACAGCAUUUCUCUUCGGAGCAAGGAGACAGGUGGUGCAUGGUUGUCGUCAGCUCGUGUCGUGAGAUGUUGGGUUAAGUCCCGCAACGAGCGCAACCCUUAUGGUCAGUUACUACGCAAGAGGACUCUGGCCAGACUGCCGUUGACAAAACGGAGGAAGGUGGGGAUGACGUCAAAUCAUCAUGCCCUUUAUGACUUGGGCUACACACGUACUACAAUGGCGUUAAACAAAGAGAAGCAAGACCGCGAGGUGGAGCAAAACUCAGAAACAACGUCCCAGUUCGGACUGCAGGCUGCAACUCGCCUGCACGAAGUCGGAAUUGCUAGUAAUCGUGGAUCAGCAUGCCACGGUGAAUACGUUCCCGGGCCUUGUACACACCGCCCGUCACACCAUGAGAGCCGGGGGGACCCGAAGUCGGUAGUCUAACCGCAAGGAGGACGCCGCCGAAGGUAAAACUGGUGAUUGGGGUGAAGUCGUAACAAGGUAGCCGUAGGAGAACCUGCGGCUG